GUUAAGUUGCAGGGUAUAGACCCGAAACCCGGUGAUCUAGCCAUGGGCAGGUUGAAGGUUGGGUAACACUAACUGGAGGACCGAACCGACUAAUGUUGAAAAAUUAGCGGAUGACCUGUGGCUGGGGGUGAAAGGCCAAUCAAACCGGGAGAUAGCUGGUUCUCCCCGAAAGCUAUUUAGGUAGCGCCUCGUGAAUUCAUCUCCGGGGGUAGAGCACUGUUUCGGCUAGGGGGCCAUCCCGGCUUACCAACCCGAUGCAAACUGCGAAUACCGGAGAAUGUUAUCACGGGAGACACACGGCGGGUGCUAACGUCCGUCGUGAAGAGGGAAACAACCCAGACCGCCAGCUAAGGUCCCAAAGUCAUGGUUAAGUGGGAAACGAUGUGGGAAGGCCCAGACAGCCAGGAUGUUGGCUUAGAAGCAGCCAUCAUUUAAAGAAAGCGUAAUAGCUCACUGGUCGAGUCGGCCUGCGCGGAAGAUGUAACGGGGCUAAACCAUGCACCGAAGCUGCGGCAGC
rnacentral:rRNA from 1 species